UACGAAGGGUGCAAACGUUGCUCGGAAUUAUUGGGCGUAAAGCGCACGUAGGCGGCUUAGCAAGUCGGAAGUGAAAUCCCUCGGCUCAACCAAGGAAGUGCUUUCGAAACUGCUGAGCUUGAGUACGGCAGAGGAGACUGGAAUUCCUGGUGUAGCAGUGAAAUGCGUAGAUAUCAGGAGGAACACCGAUGGCGAAGGCAGGUCUCUGGGCUGACACUGACGCUCAUGCACGAAAGCGUGGGGAGCAAACAGG
rnacentral:rRNA from 1 species